rnacentral:piRNA from 1 species
UAGGCAGUUCUUAGGACCAGCAGUG